ACAGCCAUACUAUGCUGAAUAUACCAGUUCCCAUUCGAUUACCGAAGUUAAGCAUCAUCGGGACGUGGUCAGUACUUGGGAGGGUGACCACUUAGAAACACAGUG